AUUGAACGCUGGCGGCAGGCUUAACACAUGCAAGUCGAGCGGAGAUGAGGUGCUUGCACCUUAUCUUAGCGGCGGACGGGUGAGUAAUGCUUAGGAAUCUGCCUAUUAGUGGGGGACAACAUUCCGAAAGGAAUGCUAAUACCGCAUACGUCCUACGGGAGAAAGCAGGGGAUCUUCGGACCUUGCGCUAGUAGAUGAGCAUAAGUCGGAUUAGCUAGUUGGUGGGGUAAAGGCCUACCAAGGCGACGAUCUGUAGCGGGUCUGAGAGGAUGGUCCGCCACACUGGGACUUGGACACGGCCCAGACUCCUACGGGAGGGAGCAGUGGGGGAUAUUGGGCAAAGGGGGAAACCCUGAUCCAGCCAUGCCGCGUGUGUGAAGAAGGCCUUAUGGUUGUAAAGCACUUUAAGCGAGGAGGAGGCUACUGAGACUAAUACUCUUGGAUAGUGGACGUUACUCGCAGAAUAAGCACCGGCUAACUCUGUGCCAGCCGCCGCGGUAA
rnacentral:rRNA from 1 species